rnacentral:rRNA from 1 species
AUACGGAGGGGGCUAGCGUUGUUCGGAAUUACUGGGCGUAAAGCGCGUGUAGGCGGUUCGACCAGUCAGGCGUGAAAGCCCCGGGCUCAACCCGGGAACUGCGUUUGAAACUGUCGAACUUGAGUCCGGGAGAGGGUAGUGGAACUCCCAGUGUAGAGGUGAAAUGCGUAGAUAGUGGGAAGAACACCAGUGGCGAAGGCGGUCACCUGGACGGGUACUGACGCUGAGGCGCGAAAGCGUGGGGAGCAAACAGGAUUAGAAACCCCAGUAGUCC